UGAGGAAUAUUGGUCAAUGGGCGAGAGCCUGAACCAGCCAUCCCGCGUGCAGGAGGAAGGCCCUAUGGGUUGUAAACUGCUUUUGUGCAUGAAGAACACCCCGCUCGAGAGCGGGGCUGACGGUAAUGCGUGAAUAAGCACCGGCUAACUCCGUGCCAGCAGCCGCGGUAAUACGGAGGGUGCAAGCGUUAUCCGGAUUUAUUGGGUUUAAAGGGUGCGUAGGCGGCCUUUUAAGUCAGUGGUGAAAACCUGCGGCUCAACCGUAGGCGUGCCAUUGAAACUGAAGGGCUUGAGUUAUCAUGAGGCAGGCGGAAUGUGUAGUGUAGCGGUGAAAUGCUUAGAUAUUACACAGAACACCGAUUGCGUAGGCAGCUUGCUAAAGGUACACUGACGCUGAUGCACGAAAGCGUGGGGAUCGAACA
rnacentral:rRNA from 1 species